UGUUUCCCCAUGUACCCAGCACUGGUGAGGCUGCACCUUGAGUGUGCAUUCACUACAAGAAAGACAUGGAGGCCCUGGGAUGCUUCCAGAGAAGGGCAGCAGAGCUGUGAAGGGUCCGGAGCACAAGGCUUAUGGGGACCCUGGAGCAUAAGGCUUAUGGGGGACCCUGGAGCAUGGCUGAGGGAGCUGGGAUUGUUCGAUGUGGAGGAGAGGAGGCUCGGGGGAGCCCUCAUUGCUCACUACAGCUCCCUGAGAGGAGGCUGCGGUGAGGUGGGGGUCCUCUGCUCGCAGGUCGCCCGGCUUCUUCGGACCCGGGUGGAUUGGGGUUCCGCUGCUGCUUGCGCUGCCAGCUACUGAUUAACGGUCAGAGCAUCCACAACGCAGUGCCCGCUAAGGGGAGGGAUGGAGGACCCGGCCGCAGUUCCGCCCGCAGCCGCGCGGUGGCGCCAGAGGACCGAGCAGUGCGCUCCGUGCGGGGCGGGGGGGCCGGGCGGUGGCAGCGGGGUCCCCUCCGCAGGGUUUCACCGUCCGAUACCGCUUUGGGACCCGUCGGCUUCACCUUCCCUUGCGCCACGCGUUCCGUGUUUCCUCUCUUGGGGAAAAGACCCCCAAAAGCACCGACUGUGGGGAAACCAACCGAGGUCACCGCAAAGAUUUGAACCUCCAAUACAUUCGUGCCUCCUCGGGGUGAUACCCCCCCCCCGCCCUAUGGGGCUGCAGGUGGGCUGCCAGCCCUUUCCUCCUUUGCUCUGGCUGCUCUUUAACAGCAAGAAACGCUCUUUAGUUGCUCCGUGUCUCUUCUACCCGGCUCACUGAGUGCAGGUCAGGCCCGUUGGCUGCAGCCGUAACUUCUACAGCGGAGUCUUCAUAGUGCUACACAGGUUCAUUGAGUUCAGGGCCACCGGCUCAAAACCAGCUCCCCUGCCCUAAUGAGCCCCGGCACUUAAUUAAUGUAGAUAAGGCAGGACAAAUAAAAACAAGGCAAAACUCCUCCGGCUUUGAAGCACCCCGAGGGAGCGGGUCUUGGCACGGGAAAAGACAGAUCGUAAUGCUGUAAUAACAAGGGUAAUUAAUUGUAUUUAUUAAAGCAUCCCUUGAUGGUUCCGGAUGCUCCGCAGUUUGAAGCACCAUAACAGGGGCCCAAUGAGGAAGCGCUGCAGGGAGCGGUGUCUGCGCUGCGGCCAUUGGGAGCGGGGCCGUCCCAGGAAAGUGAAUGGACGGGGGUGAAUGGGGGUGGACGGGGUAAGGGGCCUGGCCAGGAGGGCACGUUCGGGUCGUGAGGAGCAAAUCUGAUCUGGAUCCUGGUCUGUGUGCCACGGCCCAGGCGUUACUUCGUCUCUGCACCGCAGCCAGCUGGAAUAAAGACCGUGAAAGCCCUCUGAGGCCAUCCGGUCCAACAGUGCCCCACCACCCAUGUGCCCACCAACCCCAUCCCUGAGCUCCCCAUCUCCGUGCUCCUGGAACACCCCCGGGCACGGGGGCUCUCCCAGCUCUCUGGGCAGCCUCUGCCACCGCUGCUUCGGAGGAGAAACGUCUCCUAAUGCCCAACCAGGUGUCGGACGGCGAAACCCUUCUCCUCCACGCAGCCUUCCAGCCGCUCCGCCCCACCCACGGGGCC
ensembl:lncRNA